rnacentral:rRNA from 1 species
AACGAACGCUGGCGGCAUGCCUAAUACAUGCAAGUCGAACGAGAUCUUCGGAUCUAGUGGCGCACGGGUGCGUAACGCGUGGGAAUCUGCCCUUGGGUUCGGAAUAACUUCUGGAAACGGAAGCUAAUACCGGAUGAUGACGUAAGUCCAAAGAUUUAUCGCCCAAGGAUGAGCCCGCGUAGGAUUAGCUAGUUGGUGAGGUAAAGGCUCACCAAGGCGACGAUCCUUAGCUGGGCUGAGAGGAUGAUCAGCCACACUGGGACUGAGACACGGCCCAAACUCCUACGGGAGGCAGCAGUAGGGAAUAUUGGACAAUGGGCGAAAGCCUGAUCCAGCAAUGCCGCGUGAGUGAUGAAGGCCUUAGGGUUGUAAAGCUCUUUUACCCGGGAUGAUAAUGACAGUACCGGGAGAAUAAGCCCCGGCUAACUUCGUGCCAGCCGCCGCCGUAAAAC